GACAGAGGGUGCAAACGUUGUUCGGAAUUACUGGGCGUAAAGCGCGUGUAGGCGCCCUGCAAGUCGGAUGUGAAAUCCCACGGCUCAACCGUGGAAGUGCAUUCGAAACUGCAGGGCUAGAGUCCUGGAGAGGAAGGUGGAAUGCUUGGUGUAGAGGUGAAAUUCGUAGAUAUCAAGCGGAACACCGGUGGCGAAGGCGGCCUUCUGGACAGUGAC
rnacentral:rRNA from 1 species